rnacentral:rRNA from 1 species
UACGAAGGGGGCUAGCGUUGCUCGGAAUCACUGGGCGUAAAGGGUGCGUAGGCGGGUCUUUAAGUCAGGGGUGAAAUCCUGGAGCUCAACUCCAGAACUGCCUUUGAUACUGAAGAUCUUGAGUUCGGGAGAGGUGAGUGGAACUGCGGGUGUAGAGGUGAAAUUCGUAGAUAUUCGCAAGAACACCAGUGGCGAAGGCGGCUUACUGGUCCGGUUCUGACGCUGAGGCGCGAAAGCGUGGGGAGCAAACAGG